rnacentral:rRNA from 1 species
AUCAACGCUGGCGGCGUGCCUAACACAUGCAAGUCGAACGAGAAAGUGGCUUCGGCCAUGAGUACAGUGGCGAACGGGUGAGUAACACGUGACUAACCUGCCCUUGAGUGGGGGAUAACCUCGGGAAACCGGGGCUAAUACCGCAUAACAUCUCCGGGCGCAAUUCCUGGAGAUCAAAAGCGCAAGUUGCUUAAGGAGGGGGUCGCGGCUGAUUAGCUAGUUGGUAGGGUAAUGGCCUACCAAGGCUGUGAUCAGUAGCCGGCCUGAGAGGGCGCACGGCCACACUGGAACUGAAACACGGUCCAGACUCCUACGGGAGGCAGCAGUGGGGAAUUUUGCGCAAUGGGGGAAACCCUGACGCAGCAACGCCGCGUGGAGGAUGAAGCCCCUUGGGGUGUAAACUCCUUUCGACCGGGACGAUAAUGACGGUACCGGUGGAAGAAGCACCGGGCUAACUCUGUGCCAGCAGCCGCGGUAAUACAGAGGGUGCAAGCGUUGUUCGGAAUUAUUGGGCGUAAAGGCCGCGUAGGCGGUGCGGUAAGUCUCCUGUGAAAUCUCCCGGCUCAACCGGGAGCCUGCAGGGAAACUGCCGUGCUGAUGUGGAAAAGGAAAUGGAAUU